rnacentral:rRNA from 1 species
UACGUAGGGGGCUAGCGUUGUCCGGAAUCAUUGGGCGUAAAGAGCGUGUAGGCGGCCCGGUAAGUCCGCUGUGAAAGUCGGGGGCUCAACCCUCGAAUGCCGGUGGAUACUGUCGGGCUAGAGUGCGGAAGAGGCGAGUGGAAUUCCUGGUGUAGCGGUGAAAUGCGCAGAUAUCAGGAGGAACACCAAUUGCGAAGGCAGCUCGCUGGGACGGUACUGACGCUGAGGAGCGAAAGCGUAGGGAGCAAACAGG